rnacentral:lncRNA from 1 species
AAACAUGCUGGAGCUAGAACCUCGUUGUCGCCGCUCCUUAUUUUAGAUCAUACUACAGGGUGUCAGACGUGGUUUUAAAAUUCCCAUAAACGUGAAGGAUGUACCAAGUAAAUCAUACAUUCAGGCUGUUUCAAAGCAGGGAGGGCACAGUGUUGGAGAUAAAACAACGCAUAUCAUUAUUUUGCUAGCUAACAAAAUAAGGAGUUACUGCUAAGAAACAUGUUGCAAGAGGAAGAAGCUGGCGGUAUUUCAGGGUUUGCGACUCCAAGUUCAACGGGCUCUGGCGCAACCACAGACAGGCCAGUGGCUAGUGCUGACGUAUUUCGCAUUAGUCCCCCGGAGAAUUUUGUUUGUAUGGACAUUCAAAACUGGCCGAAAUGGAUCAGGCGCUUUGAAAGGUACAGGGUAGCAUCAGGCUUAAACGUGAAAAAUGAGGCAUUUCAAGUUAAUACAGUGAUCUACUCUAUGGGUGAUGAAGCCGAGGAUAUAUUAAAUGCUUCAACGUUGACUGAGGAAGAGAAAUGUAACUACAGUGCCGUUAAAGACUGUUUUGAAACGCAUUUUGCAGGGAGACACAACAUUAUAUUUGAGAGAGCUAGGUUUAAUAUGCGCAAACAGGAGCAGGGUGAAACCACCAACAGUUUUGUCACAGCUGUUCACAAACUAGUAGAACAUUGUCAGUUUGGCACGCUCAGGGAAGAGCUGAUCCGAGAUCAGAUUGUAGUGGGAAUAAGAAAUAUAUCACUUUCUGAAAAGUUACAGUUGGAUUCCCAGCUUACCUUGUCCAAAGCUGUAAACCAGGUUAGGCAGAGUGAGACAGUAAAAAGACAGCAGACGAUGCAGAGAGAAGAGAGUGAGGAAAGAAAUGCAUUUUCAUACCGAGCUAAAAAAACAGAGGGGAACACAGAACAGAGACAGAUGUGGAGAAAACAAUCACAGACAGCACCAGUAGCUAGUUCAAGUGUUUGUCGCAAAUGUGGGAAAUCACCUUUCCACAGAUGGAAAGAUUGCCCAGCAAAGGAUGCGGAAUGCAGGAAAUGUCACAGGAGAGGACACUUUUCAGCUGUCUGUCGAUCAAAGCAUACGCAUGAGGUCUCAGAGGAGGCACAGCAGCUACAGCAGGACAGCAUCUUUCUGGGAGAAGUAAAGGAAAACAAUGCUGGCUGGCAUUCAGACAUUAAACUCAAUGAGGAGGUUCUGUCAUUUAAACUAGACACUGGGGCAGCAGUGACAGCUAUCCCAACUAGGCUGUAUAGCUAUAGCAGAGAUGGCCCUUUGCUCUCUACAAACAACUGUACGGGCCCAGUAAUACGAUUUUACCAGUGGUAGGGCACUUGGUGAUUAAACUGGAGGGUAAAGACAAAAGUGCCAUCCAGCCUGUCUUCGUCAUUGACUCUCUAGCCAGACCGUUGCUGGGGCUGCCAGCAAUUGAAGCAUUGCAACUCAUUGAGAGAGUGAGCGAACUGGAGGACCCAGGUGAGGUUUUCAAAAAGAAAUUCCCAAAAGUGUUUUCUGGUCUAGGAAGGAUAGAAGGUGACUACAAAAUCCACCUGAAAGAGGAUGCUGUCCCCUAUGCCCUUACCACCUAUCCUUACCACCUACCACCUAUUGUGCCUAUCCCUUUAUUGGCUAGAGUAAAGGAAGAGUUGGGGAGGAUGGAAGAAAUUGGGGCAGUGUCUAAAAUAGAGAGUCCCACAGACUGGUGUGCAGGGAUGAAAGUGAUCCACAAAAGCCAAUGGGGACAUAAGGAUCUGUGUGGACAUGACUAACUUGAAUGAGGCACUCUGCAGAGAGAGACACAUCUUACCAUCAGUGGAGCAGUCACUGGCUCAGUUGGAUGGCUCACAAGUCUUCACAAAUCUGGAUGCCCGCUCAGGUUUCUGGCAGAUACCGCUGUCAUCAGAGAGUAGGGCACUCACAACGUUUAUAACACCGUUUGGCCGUUACUGUUUUAAUGUUUUGAUAUUUGGAAUCGCUUCCGGUCCUGAGCAUUUCCAAAGACGCAUGUCCCAGCUGUUGGAUGGGCUGAGUGGCGUCAUAGUCCACGCGGACGAUGUGCUCAAGCGCAGACGGGACAGAGCAGAACAUGAUGUAAGGCUCACAGCAGUUCUGACCCGACUCCAGGAGACUGGCCUGACACUCAAUGGCAAUUGCACUUGGGACACAAAAUGCACUUGGGACACAAAAUACACUUGGGACACAAAAUGCACUUGGGACACAAAAUCAGUGCAGCUGGAAUUGAGCCGGACCCGGAGAAGAUCAGCGCCAUCACAGAUAUGCCCAGAUAUGCCCAGACCCCAGAAUGUGGCUGAAGUCAGGACCUUCUUAGGCAUGGCCACAUAUGUGGGUAAGUUCCUCCCACAGUUCUCAGAUACAACCAAACCUCUGAGAGACUUACUAGCCAAAGAGAAUGACUGGUCAUAGGGUCACAUGCAACAGGUGGCAUUGGACAAAAUCAAAGGAGACCUGGCCUCACAGAGAGUGCUGGCCCAUUACCGUCCCCACGCUAAGACAAAAGUAUCAGCAGAUGCAUCAUCCUUUGGGCUUGGGGCGGUCCUCACACAGAUGCAGGACAACAUGGCGUGGCGUCCAAUAGCAUACAUCUCCCGAAGCUUAUCCGACAGAGCAAAGGUCAAAUCAAAUCAAAUGUAUUUAUAUAGCCCUUCUUACAUCAGCUAAUAUCUCAAAGUGCUGUACAGAAACCCAGCCUAAAACCCCAAACAGCAAGCAAUGCAGGUGUAGAAGCACGGUGGCUAGGAAAAACUCCCUAGAAAGGUCAAAACCUAGGAAGAAACCUAGAGAGGAACCAGGCUAUGAGGGGUGGCCAGUCCUCUUCUGGCUGUGCCGGGUGGAGAUUAUAACAGCACAUGGCCAAGAUGUUCAAAUGUUCAUAAAUGACCAGCAUGGUCAAAUAAUAAUAAUCAUAGUAGUUGUCGAGGGUGCAACAAGUCAGCAACUCAAGAGUAAGUGUCAGUUGGCUUUUUCAUAGCCGAUCUUUGAGAGUAUCUCUACCGCUCCUGCUGUCUCUAGAGAGUUGAAAACAGCAGGUCUGGGACAGGUAGCACAUCCGGUGAACAGGUCAGGGUUCCAUAGCCUCACGCAGAACAGUUGAAACUGGAGCAGCAGCACGGCCAGGUGGACUGGGGACAGCAAGGAGUCAUCAUGCCAGGUAGUCCUGAGGCAUCGUCCUAGGGCUCAGGUCCUCCAAGAGAGAGAAAGAAAGAAAGAAAAAGAAAGAAAGAAAGAAAGAAAGAAAGAAAGAGAGAAUUAGAGAGAGCAUAUUUAAAUUCACACAGGACACCGGAUAAGACGAGAAAUACUCCAGAUGUAACAGACUGACCCUAGCCCCCCGACACAUAAACUACUGCAGCAUAAAUACUGGAGGCUGAGACAGGAGGGGUCAGGAGACACUGUGGCCCCAUCCGAGGUAUGCUCAAGUAGAGAAGGAGGCGUUGGCUAUCACAUGGGCAUGUGAAAGGCUCAGCCAAAACCUUAUUGACCUGCAGUUUACAGCAGAGACUGACCACAAACCACUGUUGGCUCUGUUAGGGACAAAAGCACUGGACAACUUGCCUCCCAGAGUUCUGCGCUUCCGCCUCAGAUUACUGAGGUUCACCUACAAGAUGGUGUAUGUGCCAGGGAAGGCACUGAUCACAGCAGAUGCACUCUCAGGGACCCCAAUUAAACGUCCAUUAUCAGAGGAGGAGCAAAGUCUAGAGGGUGAGGUACAGGUGUCCAUUAAUGCAGUAAGGGACAGCCUACCUGCAUCUCAGACCAAACUGCAGCAGACUGCAGAGGAACAACAACGAGACCACAUCUGCCGACAGAUAGUGCAGCAGUGCAAAAGGGGAUGGCCCAGGCAGGAGGAACUGCCUCAGCUGCUGAAGCCCUAUUGGGUGCACCAAAGUGACUGUCCACUGUAAUGGAGACCUUCUCAUGAAAGGACAACGAAUAGUUAUCCCAGAGACUUUACAACCAGAAAUGCUAGACAUGGGAAUAACCAAAUGCAGACUGAGGGCUCAACAGUCAGUGUGGUGGCUUGGUCUGAGUACUCAGAUUUCCAAGCUGGUGGCCCAGUGUGAGGUCUGUACAAAAUGUCAACCUUGUCAUCCGGAGCCAAUGAUGGCAACGGAGCUGCCAAAACGGCCAUGGCAAAAGGUAGGGGCAGAUAUGUUCUAUUGGAAAAAGGACACUUAUCUGCUAGUGGUAGAUUACUACUCAAGAUACAUUGAAAUAGCAAAGACACCCAUAACCAUAUCAGCUGGUGUUAUCAAUGGAUUAAAGUCAAUUUUUUCCAGGCAAGGGGUCGCUGAGGUCCUGGUUACAGAUAAUGCUCCCCAGUUCUCUGCAAGUUCCUUUUCUGCUUUUACCGCAUAAUAUGACUUCACACAUGUGACCAGUAGCCCCUACCAUGCACAGAGUAAUGGUGAGGCAGAGAGAGCUGUGAAAACAGUCAAGGGACUGCUGAAAAAGAACAAGGAUCCAUACAGGGCUCUGUUAGCUUACAGAGUUACACCAUUGCAUCAUGGGCCGUCCGUCGCCUGCCGAGCUCUUGAUGGGCAGGAGGCUGAGUUCCCCAUUGCCUGUCUCACGGGCUCAGCUUAAACCCUGAUGGCCUAACAGGAAGGCCUUCGCUGAGAGGGACAAACGGCUGAAACAAACGCAAACUGGAGACUUUAAUCGGAGACACCGUGCUAAGGAGAGGCCAGAGCUGACCGAAGGUCAACGUGUGUGGAUUACAAACUCAAAGACACCAGCAAUAGUGCUGAGGAAAGCGGAUGCCCCACGCUCCUAUGUGGUGGACACAGGCUCAGAAGAGGUACGAAGGAACAAAACACACCUCAGAGCUCUUCCAGCCACACAGACUGAGGCCACAGACAACGCAAAAAUAGAGGGUGAAGGAGAGAGAAUGCUCACACAGCCACAAGCGCACCCAAAAAGGGAUGUGAAGCCACCAGAGUGGCUGAAAGACUAUGUUACGUGAAGAGAAAACAUACUGUUGGGGACCAUACCCAGCAAAAAGAGACUGUACCUAAGUUAAUGUUCAUACUGUGUGAUUUAAUGCUUUCAUACUGUUUCAGGAUGUGAAGUAGCAUGUUAGAGAAUAAUACUGGUUUCCAAAUUGCAUUUCAGUUAUGCUUCAGUGGUUAUGCAUGUUGAGUUGUUGUUCAUGGGAGAGGGGAAGAUGUAGUAGGAUGUCCCUUGUGGGUAUCCGUACCUAUGUAUGACAUGCGAGGGUUAGGUUAAUAAACAGGCUGGAGCUAGAACCUCGUUGUCGCGCGUCCUUAUUUUAGAUCAUACUACAGAAACAUUACAGGAA